rnacentral:rRNA from 1 species
UACGGAGGGUGCAAGCGUUUAUCCGGAUUCACUGGGUUUAAAGGGUGCGUAGGUGGGUUGGUAAGUCAGUGGUGAAAUCUCCAGGCUUAACUUGGAAACUGCCAUUGAUACUAUCAAUCUUGAAUACCGUGGAGGUCAGCGGAAUAUGUCAUGUAGCGGUGAAAUGCUUUAGAUAUGACAUAGAACACCAAUUGCGAAGGCAGCUGGCUACACGGAUAUUGACACUGAUGCACGAAAGCGUGGGGGAUCAAACAGG